rnacentral:rRNA from 1 species
CGGACGGGUGAGUAACGCGUGAGCAACCUGCCUUUCAGAGGGGGAUAACGAUUGGAAACGAUCGCUAAUACCGCAUAACGUCCGGAUGGGACAUCCUGUCUGGACCAAAGGAGAAAUCCGCUGAGAGAUGGGCUCGCGUCCAAUUAGCUAGUUGGCGGGGUAAAGGCCCACCAAGGCGACGAUUGGUAGCCGGACUGAGAGGUUGAACGGCCACAUUGGGACUGAGACACGGCCCAGACUCCUACGGAAGGCAGCAG